GGCGGAGUGGGGCGCAGCCGGAGUGCCUCUCCAGUUAGGGUUCCAGGCCCUGGAGUAAGGCAACGUAAGCAGAAGGAAGGAAGGGGUCCCCGGAACCCAGGAAGGAGCCGAAGCGAGAAUUAAGCCCAGGAGGCGAGAAGAGAGCUUCCAAAGAAGAAGUUGGAGGUACUGGUGGCGGCCCUACCUGCGCCGGGAUCCCAGAGGAAGGGCAGCUCACCCGCAGGCCGCCGAGGCCCGGGACCCCAGGCCUCCCGGAGAAACGCCCGGGAGUGGGCGGCGAUGAGCGGAAGGCAGGCGUGGGUGAGCUGGGGUCCGGACGCCCACAGAGGACCCGCCUCUGUCCAUCCAGGAGAGGCCUGCCGAGCUCUAGCGCAGGUGUCGGGCUCAGGCCCUACGGGCUGGAAGCGGCCCGUACCUGGGGAGCUGGAGCUUCUCACAGUCACCUGAAAUAAAGGCGCUGCUUUCCUCACCACAGCCUGAGAUGACCUAUAGAUGUUACUGCACUCGGUGCACGCUACUGAUGUAACGUAAGGAUCCUUCUAGCUGGGAGAAACCCUGAAAACUCUUUGCCAAGUGACAGAAAUCGAAAGAAACACGACACCUUUCGGAAACAGGAAGUUACCUCACACUUGAAGGUUCAGUAGCAUAACUGUGAUGGGGAAGCAGCUGUCUUUGCCAAACUUCUCAUAUAUCACCAACCAGAAAUGCAUCUUCAGUGUCAAAUAAUUGUUAUUUUUUCAAUAGAAGAUAAUUGGAAAUUCUCUGAAAUAUAUCUGACUUAGAAGGCAAGACAGAGUUUGUUAUUAUUUCGGAGGAUUUCUGGUACUAAAUAACAGCAGAGUUGAAAAAUCUAAGAAGCAAGGUGCCAUGUUGUGAACCACCAGAUGGAGACAGUCAUACAGAAAGGAGCCUAGGGUGACCUUCAGCCAACAACCGGGCAAGAAUUCAGUCCCUCAGCUUGGCAGCAUGUAAGGAAUUGAAAGCUGCCAACAGCCUGAGGAAGCUCUUACCUCAAAUGUUCUCACAGUCCCAGUCAAUAUUUCAAUCCAGAUAGAAAUGAGCAGAAGAAAAGCAGAUGGAAGAAAAACAGGAGUGAAAGAAGAAGAAAGAAUGAUAUGGUGAAAAAUAGAAAAAAGGAUUGUAAACAGGACCUGCACACCUAUACUAUAUCAAUAUGAAAUCUACCCACUGUCUGGGAAGCCCUGUGCUCUGCUCUGCUGGUUGUCUUCAUUAUUGUGUACCCCG
ensembl:lncRNA